GACGAACGCUGGCGGCAGGCCUAACACAUGCAAGUCGAGCGAGGACUUCGGUUCUAGCGGCGGACGGGUGAGUAACGCGUGGGAAUGUGCCCUUCUCUACGGAAUAGCCCUGGGAAACUGGGAGUAAUACCGUAUACGCCCUAUUGGGGAAAGAUUUAUCGGAGAAGGAUCAGCCCGCGUUGGAUUAGGUAGUUGGUGGGGUAAUGGCCUACCAAGCCGACGAUCCAUAGCUGGUUUGAGAGGAUGAUCAGCCACACUGGGACUGAGACACGGCCCAGACUCCUACGGGAGGCAGCAGUGGGGAAUCUUAGACAAUGGGGGCAACCCUGAUCGAGCCAUGCCGCGUGAGUGAUGAAGGCCUUAGGGUUGUAAAGCUCUUUCAGCUGGGAAGAUAAUGACGGUACCAGCAGAAGAAGCCCCGGCUAACUCCGUG
rnacentral:rRNA from 1 species